rnacentral:rRNA from 1 species
CUGCUGCCUUCCGUAGGAGUUUGGGCCGUGUCUCAGUCCCAAUGUGGCCGUCCACCCUCUCAGGCCGGCUACUGAUCGUCGCCUUGGUGGGCCGUUACCCCGCCAACAAGCUAAUCAGACGCGGGUCCAUCUUACACCACCGGAGUUUUUCACACAAAUCCAUGCGGCUUCGUGCGCUUAUGCGGUAUUAGCACCUAUUUCUAAGUGUUACUCCCCCAGUGUAAGGCAGGUUACCCACGCGUUACUCACCCGUCCGCCACUAAG